ACAGGGAAUCUGCAGUGGGUCUGUCUGGAGGCCAAUCUGCUCCUGUGCCUCAGGGCCAUGUCAAGGAGAUUGUAUUAGCUCCUCUGUUCUCUCAGUGUGGCAAUCUGCUUUUAAAGGUGCAAAACUUAUUUCUGGGCUAAACAGAUGAAUGGGGAUACCAUUCAGCAUCAUAAAGUCACCCCAGGACAGCUUUCCAUCCUGUCUCAAUGUAAAUACCUGAAGAGUAAGAGGACAAAAAUAAUGUGAUGUGAAGUUUCAGCAUUCUGAUUCUGGUGGGGUCCUGAGAUGAUAACAAGGCCACAUAUUGGCAAGGUAAAAG